rnacentral:rRNA from 1 species
AGUGAACGCUGGCGGUAGGCCUAACACAUGCAAGUCGAACGGCAGCACAGUAAGAGCUUGCUCUUACGGGUGGCGAGUGGCGGACGGGUGAGGAAUACAUCGGAAUCUACUUUUUCGUGGGGGAUAACGUAGGGAAACUUACGCUAAUACCGCGUACGACCUACGGGUGAAAGCAGGGGAUCUUCGGACCUUGCGCGAUUGAAUGAGCCGAUGUCGGAUUAGCUAGUUGGCGGGGUAAAGGCCCACCAAGGCGACGAUCCGUAGCUGGUCUGAGAGGAUGAUCAGCCACACUGGAACUAAGACACGGUCCAGACUCCUACGGGAGGCAGCAGUGGGGAAUAUUGGACCAUGGGCGCAAGCCUGAUCCAGCCAUACCGCGUGGGUGAAGAAGGCCUUCGGGUUGUAAAGCCCUUUUGUUGGGAAAGAAAAGCAGCAGGUUAAUACCCCGCUGUUCUGACGGUACCCAAAGAAUAGCACCGGCUAACUUCGU